GGGACCAUGGCGCAGUUGGCUAGCGCGCAGGUCUCAUAUCCACUAGAUAUGAUCAGGCGUCAAGUUUGAGUAAUCCUGAGGUCGUGAGUUCGAGCCUCACUGGUCCCA
rnacentral:tRNA from 1 species